ACAUGGAAUCAGAUUGAUUCUUAGCUUGGUCAAUAACUUGCAACCAUAUGGUGGGAAGAUGCAAUACAUUUCAAGCCAUAUUCAUGAGUUCAUUUUAUGAAAUUGGCGAUGAUGGUUAGGAAAUUUUCUUUCCACAUGAGUGUUAGCAAUUCCUCAGUAUUAACUAUUCAAAUCUGCUCUUUUUUUUUUUUUUUUUUUUUCUAUUAGUGAUGUUUGAGAUUUUCAAGCCCAAUGGAAAUCAUGAAAAAUCAAUGGGGGAAGGAGUGAAUGGGAAUUUAAAAGAAGGUGAUGCUCUUCUAAGUAAAGAUGGGGAUUCUUCUUUCACUGCUUUGAAAAACAGUAGAGCAUGGAGUUCUCAGUUCUCUGUGUCAUUCUUAUUGAAGGUGAGUUUUCUUUCUUACCUUUAUUUCUUUCUCAGGUUUUCUUAGAGAAAGUCAAUUCCAUUUACCUUUUUAUGUGUUUUUAAUGUCAGAUGAUGAGUUUAUGGGUCUGAAUUCUUACCUAGGUUUAUGUUGAAAUUUCACAUUGUUAACUUGGCGCCUGUUUGGUUGCCUCCUCUUGGAAAUGUGCUCAUCUCAUUUUAGCUGCUGUCAAUUGCUUAUGAGGGAUCAUAGUUUGUAUAAAUUGUUGGUUAUAUUUUUAAACCCUACAAAAAAAUUGGUCUCUAAUACAUAGAAAUGAAACGAACUCAUUUUUAAGUGGUACCGUUAGUUCCUUUUUGAAUUUGUUUUUGUUUGAAUGCAUGUUUUUGGGUCUUUAUGGAUUAUGGUGACCGUUUUUGGAUUAUAGGUAUGAGAGCAUUACAUAGGCAUGUCAAAAUAUUGUAUUGUUUGGAUUUUCUUUUGUUUUUUAUUUUUUAUUUUUUGUUUAUUUUAUUUUAUUUAUUUAUUUAUUUAACCCUACUGCUUUAGAGAAUGCUUUGGGUCGUAAUCUGAUUCUAGCAAUUCUGCAGGAGGGUGACCUUCUCAUCACCUCCCCUAUGGAACUAAUUAAGAUAAAAAAGAUGAAAAAAGUAUAAAGUGAAAUUUUCUAGGGAAAAAGCCCAAGUCUCCUCAGCUUUGCACAUCAAGCACCUAUUUGGAGGUAUAAAAUUCCACUUCUUAAGGAUAUGUACUGUUAGAAUCUUUUUUUUUUUUUUUUUCAGAAUUGAUAAUUUUAUUGCACGAAUUGAAAGGCUCGAAGGAGAAAAUAGAAAGCUACAAAAGAAACAUAAGGAAAAACAAAAAAUACAACCCGCCCCCAUAAGCACCUAUUCAUAGUAAUUGUCUUUUAUUUCUGUUGUUCUUUUGUUUAUUUCUACACAAGUAUUUAUUUGUGCUUAUCAUGAUCAUCUGACUUCUAUUAGAUGGCACAACAAUAGCCGCAAGUUUGUACUAAUUUUCAUGAGUACUUCCUUUAAAAACAAGGUAAGGAAAUUUUUCUUUAGAUUUAUUUUCAUUUGUUUAUUCUAUGUUGCAGACAAAUUUUUUUAUUUUGUUGUUGUUAUUGAGAUAAGUGUUUUUCAAGAAUGUAACUUUGGUAGUUAAUGUGGUUGAAAUUUACUAAGGAAUACUAAUGUAACUGAGAUGAAGAUAUGAAACACAUGAACAAUUCAAAUAAAGUUAGUGAUUGGUUGUCAUUAUCCAUUGAUAGAAAUAUGUGGAAAGUGAGAAAAUUUAGUGGAAGGAUCCGGUUUAUUUUUGUUGAUUACUUGGAAAUGAAGGAUUUGAGAAAGAUAAUUUGACCAUAUUAAUUACAAACUUGUCCAUCUCCCAAUUUUGACAUCGUUGUUUCUUUGACUGUAAUUUGAUCAUCAUUAAAGAUUGGAAUUGAAUGCAUACUGCUAUUUUUCCAUAUGUCGUUUUGCUAACUAUGAAUAUAAUGUGCGUGUUGUUCAUACUUUUCAGUGGAAAUUUCUCAUCAUUGAUAAAAAAAAGUCGUGUAUACUCAUUAAACAAAUUGUUGUAGUUGUCCGAUCAGUGUGAUUGCUCUGUCUAGGUAGCCAUAUGCAAUUGGGAGCACAUAAUUUGUAGAGCCAUGGGAGCACUGGAUCAUUUCUCUAAUUUAAAUUUCAAUUUACUCAGUUCAUAAUUUCUGUGUUCAGAUAUCCCAAAUACCAAAAGCAUUAGUUAAUGCAUACAAGAAAGUAACAAGAACGUAGGAGGAAAAAGUGCACAAAAGAUGCAGGUCUUGAUACAAAUGCAGGUCUUGAUGAAGAAUUAGUAUAUAGCACAAGCACAUACAUGCAUUCACACUUGCAUGCUGUAGCACUAACAAUGCGUGGAAGAUGGCAUUUAUUACACAGCACAUGCAAUAUAAUUCCUUUUUGAAAAUGCAUCUCAACUCUAUCAUACAUUAGUAUUCUUCACUCAAACCAGUUUACAGGCACUUGUUUUACCAGUUCUGUACAUCAAUUAUUUGUCUGAUUUUUCUUAAGUCCCAUCAAACAUGCUUUUUUUUUUUUUUGGGUUAGCUUGUUAGUACACCCACUGUCAGUUCAUUUGAGAGCUCUUUCUAGUACAUCUGUUGGUUGUAACUCCUAGAGCUAUACUGUAGAUUGAAACUUUAUUUCUAAAUAAGAAAAAAAAUGUUAGCUGAAAUUGUGGUUGGUCUAAAUUUUCUAAGUGUAGAGGGUGGAAGUACAAAGAGUAUGGCUAAUGCUGCAGAGUGCGUCGAAAGGGCAACUGGUGACAUGUUGAUUGGUCCGAACUGGGGAGUCAAUAUUGAGAUCUGUGACAUUAUUAAUAUGGAUCUAGGGAAAUGGUUUGUUUAUGUUUAAAGUGGCUAGGAGAUGUAUUGGUGUGAAUUUUCUUGG